CCGAAAUGUGUAACAGCAACAGCUGAGGAAGUGGCAGCCAUGGGCCUGUGUUCCCGUCGCAGCAGGGUCCAGGGGAGAGUUGGUCUGAACAGAGGGAGCUGCUGUUUGCACCAGCCUACUCUUCUACUUUUGGUUCUGAAAAAAACAACAAAGACCGUUUCUCUGCUGAUUUCUCACAGAUGUAUUAUUGCCUUUCUAUAAACUUCCUCUGGUUCUUCUGCUUGUUUUCUCUGAAACAUAUUCUGUAUGGGUAUAGAUUUAGUUGUUAUACCUGUUUAUAGACAGCUGACCAUUUGGGCUGCCUUUUACCAUCCUUUUAGUACUCCUGUGUCCAAAAAGGCAAAAAAAAAGCAAAGAUUCCCAUGAAAAGAAAGAAAUAAUCACAGAAAGAAGAAAGAGGCACCUUUAUUUCUUGGUAAUUAGAGCAACACACAAUGCCAGAGUUGGGCAUCGGAUCAGGAAUGUCCCUGCAGGGUCUCUUGUGGUCAGAGCGGGGCUCUGGGAAGGUGCUGGAUCUCGGAGGUCCUGUCGUCAUCAGCGGAUUAAUCCACUGAGGUCCUGGUUGAGUGUUUUAUUGGGAGGUAAAGCCUGGUCAGAAGACGUGGGUCCCUGGGGUCGUGACCUAGAGGCGUCUAUCUCCUCAGAUCCUCCCUUGUCUCUGCUCCCUGGCCUCCAUGAUCUGCGUAGCUUUUCCGCCAUGCCCUUCCACCCAUGCUGUUUUUGCCUUGGAGCCUGCCGACCGCGGAGUAAACUGUGAACCAAAAUAAACCGCUCCUCCUUUAAGAUGAGGUGUCGAGUAUUGUGUCUCAGUGAAGAAGAAAGUGACUAAGGGCAGCCAGAAUAUUCCUAAACUCUCUCAAUAUCAGCAAACAAAUAGAUGAGAGAACAUCUGUGAAGAAUGUAUGAUGGUACUUGAGAUGCUGGUGGGAAAAGCAACGUGCUGACUUCCUGGUGUGGGGUGUUGAUGGCUUUCCAGGAAUACUGGAAGGUCCAGCUGAUUCUCCACAAUGAUCUCUGUAUCAAAGGCUCACAGAGAUGGCCUGAGGAGGACAGGGAACUUGAAAAACUUCCACUGACUUCCACAGCCAUGGCCUUAUCAUUUCAAACUACCAGGGAAGAGAUGCGCUGCUUUUCUGAUCCCAGACAUCAAGAAUCCACAGUUACUACAAUGUCAGGGGAAGCCUGGUCUGUCACUUUCAGGUAUUUGGAAGGCUGCUGGAAGAGCCUGAGGAAGCCCACAAUGUACCCUACAGAUGAAGCAUCUAUAGCAGCAUCCACCCACCUUGUGGGAAUGAGACUAGCAAGGCCUGUGCAUCCAGGAUCUCUCCAUCCCCAUAUCUUCUGGAGAAGCCAAAGCUGCAUCCUUUGCCUAAGACAUCUGAAAGAGGCACCUGCUGCCCCAGACCACAGGAGCAAGAGAUAAGGAGGGGAGAAAAGGAACUGAGAGCCAGUGGUGAUUCUGUACUUUUCCUCUGUCAGCAUAGUCCUGAGGAAAACCCCUCCCCUUGGGCUUUUGCUGAAAUGGAAUAGGAUUUAAGAAUAUUUCUUUGGUUCUAUUACUUUUAUUGCCCAUUAUUCUA
rnacentral:lncRNA from 1 species